AUACAUGCAAGUCGAGCGAAUCUUUGGGAGCUUGCUCCCAUUGGUUAGCGGCGGACGGGUGAGUAACACGUGGGCAACCUGCCUGUAAGACUGGGAUAACUUCGGGAAACCGGAGCUAAUACCGGAUAAUUCUUUUCCUCUCAUGAGGAAAAGCUGAAAGUCGGUUUACGCUGACACUUACAGAUGGGCCCGCGGCGCAUUAGCUAGUUGGUG
rnacentral:rRNA from 1 species